GCAGUGGUGGCUCAGUGGUAGAGCUCUCACCUCCCAUGCAGGAGGCCUGGGUUCGAUUCCCAGAUAAUGCA
rnacentral:tRNA from 1 species